UACAGAGGGGGCAAGCGUUAUUCGGAAUUAUUGGGCGUAAAGGGCGCGCAGGCGGCUACGCACGUCCGUUGUGAAAUCGCUCGGCUCAACUGGGCGGGGUCGGCGGAUACGGCGUAGCUGGAGCAAGCUAGGGGGCAAUGGAAUUCCCGGUGUAGUGGUGGAAUGCGUAGAUAUCGGGAGGAACACCAGUGGCGAAGGCGGUUGCCUGGAGCUUUGCUGACGCUGAGGCGCGAAAGCGUGGGGAGCGAUCCGG
rnacentral:rRNA from 1 species